rnacentral:tRNA from 1 species
AAGGGAGACCUAAUUCGGGUAGAAGACGAAAAAAUAGUAGUCGAAACCAAGAAUCAAUCCCAAAAGGUCGGAACGAGGUAUGUGGCUUUCAAACUAGGUUCUGGGUUCACAAAAGACCUGAAUCAGGAACAAGGGCUAUUAGCUCAGGUGGUUAGAGCGCACCCCUGAUAAGGGUGAGGUCCCUGGUUCGAGUCCAGGAUGGCCCACCUGCACAGGUGGCAAAAACAAGAGAAACGAGGAAUCAGCACCUUAUCUUACUUACAUAGUAAGAGAGAAUGCUGGCUCUGAGUAAAGAGUCCAGAGGAACCUUGAAAACUGCAUAGGGCUAGGUGAAAAAGCCAAAAAAGAAGACCGCAA